GAUGAACGCUGACAGAAUGCUUAACACAUGCAAGUCGACUCGAGUCUUCGGACUUGGGUGGCGCACGGGUGAGUAACGCGUAAGGAACCUGCCUCUCACAGGGGGAUAGCAGCUGGAAACGGCUAUUAAUACCCCAUGGUACCGGAGCAUCGCAUGAUGAAUCGGUGAAAGAGCUUUCGGUGGGAGAUGGCCUUGCGUCUGAUUAGCUGGUUGGUGAGGUAACGGCCCACCAAGGCGACGAUCAGUAGCCGGCCUGAGAGGGUGAUCGGCCACAUUGGGACUGAGACACGGCCCAA
rnacentral:rRNA from 1 species